rnacentral:lncRNA from 1 species
GGUACUAAUAACAAUCUGUGGUAGCAAUAACAAGUGUUGAAGCCGAGUUUAGACUUAUAGCACAAGGAAUAUGUGAGUUGAAGUGGUUAAAGACAUUGCUCAAGGAACUAUGAGUCACCGAGAUAGAAAAAAGACAGAGAUGAUGAAGCUUUAUUGUGAUAGUAAAGUCAUCAUAAACAUCGCUCACAAACCUGUUCAGCAAGAUUAACUGAACAUGAUAAAAUUAACAAAUAUUUUAUCAAGGAAAGGAUUGAAAGUGGUCGGAUUUUGCAUUCCAUUUGUCAUAAGUGGAAAACAACCCACAGCUGUUCUUACCAUAAGGGUCAUCUCGACGUAUGUUUCUUUUAUACGUUAGCAAGCUGGAACAAAAGAUAGUUUUGAUCUAGCGUGAGGUCUCUAUGUUAUGUUUGACAUAUAAAAAUGAAUUUCAGAUUUUCCAACGAGAAGAUAGCUCCAAAUUAGAUAUGACGCAUGAACUCCAAGUGAGUCUGACAUGCCAUCUACAUCAACCAAUGAGAUCAAAACUUCUCAUGUCACUAGCUUUGAGGCCUCUAUGUUAUGUUUGAUAUAUAAAAAUGAAAUUCAGAUUUUCUAACGAGAAGAUAGCACGAACUUAGAUGUGAUGCACGAACUCCAAGCAAGUCUGACAUGCCAUCCACAUCAACAAAUGAGGAUCAAAAGUUCCCAUGUCACUAGCUAUGUGGCAUACAUCUUAAGAAGUCGUCAACACUAUAAUUGAUGUGACAAGGAUAGUCAUCCAUCUAGAAUCUA